CUAAAGCGCCCCAAGGAGAAUGACCAGGGCAAAUGAAUUUUUGGGUGAUAAGAUCAGAAAGUUGAUGUUCCGGCUUUGUUAGCUCAAUGUGACUCAUGUGAUACGUAGGCUUUGAGCUCAGCUAGGUUCUAAGCAACAAUUUAAUCAAGAACUUUACCUCAUGUGGGGAAGGUAGACCAGGAAGUUUGAUGGGAAAGAC
rnacentral:lncRNA from 1 species